rnacentral:rRNA from 1 species
ACAUAUGACCAUAACCAGCUACAAAUACGGCAUCCCGUCCGCUCUGCCCUCGUCAAAUAGUUGAGUGCCGAAUCAGUACUCAGGUGGGUGACUACUGGGGAAUCCUCGGUGUUGUAUGUU